AAAAAAAAAAAAAAAAGGAAAAAGCAAUUGACCAUGAUAAAAACUAAAGAAAUGAUACCCUAUGACCUAUCAUUUUAAAGAGAGAAUGAAAUUAUAUAACUUUUGGAUUAUUUUUGAUUUCAUCAGUGAUAUCAUUAUAUAGUCUCCUAUGUACAUCAUAAUAGAUCACUUGGACCUAUAGUUCUUUCCUCUCUUCUUCUCGCAUCAACAUCUCCCUUGACAAAUGACAAGUCCCCUCAGGCCUCAGUUUAGUUUGGUUAGUCCAAAAUAGCUACUUGAUGUUGUCAGGUUAAUACCAAACCGAGUUGCGAGAUGGGGUUAAUCAUAGAUUAUCAUGUGCUGCACCAUCUGCUUCCUCCCCACAGAUUCAGCACGCACAGCAAGUCAGCAAUAUGACAUGAAUGAACUAAAUGUGAACCUCUUGAAAUGCUGAAUAUGACACUGUCAUAUAGAUGCCACACCUUUAGUCAUCAACUGUUGCAGUAGAAACAUAUAUGAACAACUAAUCCACGCUACAAAACUAUAAAGCCACUAAAUGACAUAACUUAGACAAGAGGCUGCAUGGCUAGAAGCUAUAUAGUUAUUCUAAGCAUCUACAGCAUGCCAGAGGAGUAUUCUUUGAUCCGACUGUUGCAUGAGAACUUGGAAAGGAACUACUACAGAACCACUCUAUAAGCCCUCCUCCUACAUGAAUUCCUAAAGAAUCAUAAUCCCUAUAAAAUAUAUACACAGAUUUCUCUCUCCAAUAGUUUAUCCUUUCAUGUUUCUUCCUUUCCUCCCUAAGAGGUCAAGAACAACAUUAUUUCGCCACAAAUUUAUGGACACGAACACACAGGAAAUGGAUCAAUUUGGAGUUAGCGCAAGGAAUUGUAAUGCAUUAAUACAAUAGCAUUCAAGAAAGACCAAAACUUUGUAAUACUACUAUAUCAAAUUUGUGAAAUAACUGCUCUAUGUUUAAUAAACUUGAAAGAGAUAUGAACACACUUCAAACACAGUCACUUGAGCAAGUAUGAGUUUUUUGUUUCAUCAACAAGAAAUCCAUUUACAUGUAUCCCCGAACCCCAGUGCCCAAUUCACAAAUAGACACAUACCAAUAAUGAGUUGCAUUUGAAGAAUUUGCUAAAUUACCAUAUCAAUCUAUCUGAUUAAAAAUAAAAGGCAGUAUAUGCUCCCUUUCUAUUCCUCUUCAUCUUCUCAAGCUCGAUCUUAGCUUCCAAAAACAUAUUCAUCCUCUGGAACUCAAGAUCCUUGGUAAACUCCACCCUCUGCUUCUCCAAUUCGAUCAUAUACCAGCCUCGUUGCUUACAACAUACCUCCAUAACAUUCAAAACAAAAAAUAACAGAGCCCAGUUCUCUGUAGUUGGUUCCACCACCGAACAAAAAAAAUGAAGACAAAGUUCCAGUCGUUGACAAACAGAGCCCAGUUCACAUUCUUUC
rnacentral:lncRNA from 1 species